UACGUAGGGGGCGAGCGUUGUCCGGAAUGAUUGGGCGUAAAGGGCGCGUAGGCGGCCCGUUAAGUCUGGAGUGAAAGUCCUGUUUUUAAGAUGGGAAUUGCUUUGGGUGCUGAUGGGCUUGAGUGGAGGAGAGGUAAGUGGAAUUCCCAGUGUAGCGGUGAAAUGCGUAGAGAUUGGGAGGAACACCAGUGGCGAAGGCGACUUACUGGACUGUAACUGACGCUGAGGCGCGAAAGUGUGGGGAGCAAAC
rnacentral:rRNA from 1 species